rnacentral:rRNA from 1 species
GACGAACGCUGGCGGCGUGCUUAACACAUGCAAGUCGAACGGAAAGGCCCUGCUGUUGUGGGGUGCUCGUGUGGCGAACGGGUGAGUAACACGUGAGUAACCUGCCCGUGACUCUGGGAUAACUUCAGGAAACUGGCGCUAAUACCGGAUAGGAGCUCCUGAUGCUUGGCGGGGGGUGGAGAGUUUCGGCGGUUGGUGAUGGACUGGCGGCUUAUAAGCUGGUGGGUGGGGUUGUGGCUUCCCAAGGCGGUGACGGGUAGCAGGCCUGGGAGGGUGACAGGGCCCAUUGGGAUAGGGGUGCCGGCAGUGCUCAUUCUGGCGGAAUGAACGAGGAAUUUUGCGCGCUGGGCGGCAGCCUGAUGCACGGACGUCGCGUGCUGAAUCACUGUUUUUCGGGUGUAAACCGCUUUCGCCUGUGAGGAAGCGUGAUUGACGGUAAUGGGUUAAGAAGCCCCGGCUAACUACGUG